ACAACCUUAUGCUGCUGAGGAAAUACUGACUCACUAAGGGUAGGCAGCUUUGCCUGCGGCCAGACAACGAGAUGACAGAAUAUGACUCCAGCUCAAAUAUGUUGAACUCCAAGGACUGUGCUCUCAUUGCCACAAUGUGUCCUUUUUAGAUAUGGUAUUCAAUUAACAGACCCAAGAAUCAAAUAUGUCAACAUUUCAUUUUCCGACCUGCAGUUCUGACAGGGUAUGGUUGUAAACAAGGGUAACUUUGCCAAGAAUCUGCCACACAUAUCAAGACUGCUAACAAAGGUUCCAAGUCCAUCUUCUCAGAUGAUACUUAGAUAGGAAAAUAAAUUCAACGACCCUGACUUUUCAGUCUGUAGAAACUCCUCAUAAUUUGCAGGCCUCCAGUAACUAGCUCCCUGUUAUGGAUCUAAGGCCAGAAAUCAGUGUCUACCAUACCUCACUCAAACGAAAAUACAAAGCUACAAAAAAAGAAGUAAGCCUUACAAGAUUUAAUAUGGAGCCAAAAGAUGGAAAUCUGACAGGACAGUGUUGAGAGGGGAACGCUAUAGCGGGGAAUAUGUCAUGAGGAGUCUGUCUCCACGAAUAUAGAGGCUUUGUCCAGGAACUGCUGGGAAGGUGCAGGACAGAACUGAAAGACAGAUCUGAAAUCCAAGAUGUUUUGGCCUGGCUUUUAGGAGUCCUGAAAUAUUUAUUCUCAGACUCUGCAUCCACUGUGGUAUAUAAGAUAGGAAAGGUGAGCCCAUUCUGUCUCAUAGUCUGAUCUCAUAGCUCUGGAAUGUUGUCUUUCCCAUUUACCUGCAGUCUUAUCAUCUCCCGUUCCUUGGGAAAGACUUACACUGUUCUUUUUCUGUCCAAAUUGCAUGCAUACAAAGUGGGGGAAAGAGAAAAGAUCUUUAUCUCUGGC